GACGAACGCUGGCGGCGUGCUUAACACAUGCAAGUUGAACGGAAAGGCCCUGCUUUUGUGGGGUGCUCGAGUGGCGAACGGGUGAGUAACACGUGAGUAACCUGCCCUUGACUUUGGGAUAACUUCAGGAAACUGGGGCUAAUACCGGAUAGGAGCUCCUGCUGCAUGGUGGGGGUUGGAAAGUUUCGGCGGUUGGGGAUGGACUCGCGGCUUAUCAGCUUGUUGGUGGGGUAGUGGCUUACCAAGGCUUUGACGGGUAGCCGGCCUGAGAGGGUGACCGGCCACAUUGGGACUGAGAUACGGCCCAGAAUCCUACGGGAGGCAGCAGUGGGGAAUAUUGCACAAUGGGCGGAAGCCUGAUGCAGCAACGCCGCGUGCGGGAUGACGGCCUUCGGGUUGUAAACCGCUUUCGCCUGUGACGAAGCGUGAGUGACGGUAAUGGGUAAAGAAGCACCGGCUAACUACGUG
rnacentral:rRNA from 1 species